rnacentral:misc_RNA from 1 species
AACUUUCAGCAACGGAUCACUUGGCUCUCGCAUCGAUGAAGAACGCAGCGAAAUGCGAUAAGUAAUGUGAAUUGCAGAAUUCAGUGAAUCAGCGAAUCUUUGAACGCACCUUGCGCUCCUUGGUAUUCCGAGGAGCAUGCCUGUGUGAGUGUCAUGAAAUCUUCAACCUAUAAGCUUUUGUGGUUUGUAGGCUUGGACUUGGAGACUUGUCGGCCUUGAUCGGUCGGCUCCUCUUAACUGCAUUAGCUUGAUUCCUUGCGGAUCGGCUCUCGGUGUGAUAAUAUCUACGCCGCGACCGUGAAGUGUUUGGCGAGCUUCUAACCGUCUCACUUGAGAGACAACUUUAUGACCUCUGACCUCAAAUCAGGUAGGACUACCCGCUGAACUUAAGCAUAUCAAUAAGCGGAGGCU